rnacentral:rRNA from 1 species
GAUCCUGGCUCAGGAUGAACGCUAGCUACAGGCUUAACACAUGCAAGUCGAGGGGCAGCAUUUCGCUAGCAAUAGUGAAGAUGGCGACCGGCGCACGGGUGAGUAACACGUAUCCAACCUGCCGAUAACUCGGGGAUAGCCUUUCGAAAGGAAGAUUAAUACAAGAUGGCAUCAUGAGUCCGCAUGUUCACAUGAUUAAAGGUAUUCCGGUAGACGAUGGGGAUGCGUUCCAUUAGAUAGUAGGCGGGGUAACGGCCCACCUAGUCUUCGAUGGAUAGGGGUUCUGAGAGGAAGGUCCCCCACAUUGGAACUGAGACACGGUCCAAACUCCUACGGGAGGCAGCAGUGAGGAAUAUUGGUCAAUGGGCGAGAGCCUGAACCAGCCAAGUAGCGUGAAGGAUGAAGGUCCUACGGAUUGUAAACUUCUUUUAUACGGGAAUAAAGUUUCCUACGUGUAGGAUUUUGUAUGUACCGUAUGAAUAAGCAUCGGCUAACUCCGUG